rnacentral:misc_RNA from 1 species
AAGUCGUAACAAGGUCUCCGUUGGUGAACCAGCGGAGGGAUCAUUACCGAGUUUACAACUCCCAAACCCCUGUGAACAUACCUAUACGUUGCCUCGGCGGAUCAGCCCGCGCCCCGUAAAACGGGACGGCCCGCCGCAGGACCCAUAAACCCUGAAUUUUAUUGUAACUUCUGAGUUUAAAAAACAAAUAAAUCAAAACUUUCAACAACGGAUCUCUUGGUUCUG